rnacentral:rRNA from 1 species
GACGAACGCUGGCGGCGUGCUUAACACAUGCAAGUCGAACGGAAAGGCCCUGCUUUUGUGGGGUGCUCGAGUGGCGAACGGGUGAGUAACACGUGAGUAACCUGCCCUUGACUUUGGGAUAACUUCAGGAAACUGGGGCUAAUACCGGAUAGGAUCUCCUGCUGCAUGGGGGUGGAUGGAAAGAUACGGCGGUGGGGGAUCGACUCGCGGGUUAUCAGCUUGUUGGUGUGGUAGGUGCUGACAAAGGCUUUGAGGGGUAGCCGGCCUGAGAGCUUGGACGGGCUCAAUGGGCCUGCGAUAGGGACCAGACGCCUACGGUCGGCAGCAGUCGGGAGUAUUGCAGAAUGGCCCGAAGCCUGAUGCAACGGCGCUGCGUGCGUGAUGCUCUCUUUCGGGUGGUAAACAAAUGUGUACUGUGCCGUAGACUUAGUGACGGUACCGGGUCAGGAAGCCCCGGCUAACUACGUG